ACUCAAAGGAAUAGACGGGGGCCCGCACAAGCGGUGGAGCAUGUGGUUUAAUUCGACGCAACGCGAAGAACCUUACCUGGGCUCGAAAUGCUAUGGACCGGAGUAGAAAUAUUCCUUCCCCGCAAGGGGCCGUAGUAUAGGUGCUGCAUGGCUGUCGUCAGCUCGUGUCGUGAGAUGUUGGGUUAAGUCCCGCAACGAGCGCAACCCUUACUUCCAGUUGCCACCAUUUAGUUGGGCACUCUGGCAGAACCGCCUCGGAUAACGGGGAGGAAGGUGGGGAUGACGUCAAGUCCUCAUGGCCUUUAUGUCCAGGGCUACACACGUGCUACAAUGGCCGGUACAAACCGUCGCAAACCCGUGAGGGGGAGCUAAUCGGAAAAAGCCGUCCUCAGUUCGGAUUACAGUCUGCAACUCGACUGUAUGAAGCUGGAAUCGCUAGUAAUCGCGGAUCAGAACGCCGCGGUGAAUACGUUCCCGGGCCUUGUACACACCGCCCGU
rnacentral:rRNA from 1 species